CGUGACCCGGACCCCUCCCCGGCUACCCCCGGCGCUGUCCCGGGCUCCCCUCACACCGACCCUGGGACUGUCCCCGACCCACCCUCACACCCACCCCGGGACUGCCCCCCGAGCUCCCCUCAUACCGACUCCCGGGGCUGCCCCCCGAGUUCCCCUCACACCGUUCCCCCGGGGCUGCCCCCUGAGCUCCCCUCACACCGACCCCGGGGCUGUCCCCCGACCCACCCUCACACCGACCCCGCGACUGCCUCCGACCCACCCUCACACCGACGCCGGAGUUUCCCCACAGCAGCUUGGCGGUGCCGGGGCGAUGGUCCCUGCCCUCGGCGCCCCGGGGCUCUCGCCGGGGUGAGGAGGGAGGCAGGGGACACCCAUGUGCUGCCCCCCCGGCGCUGGCCCUUGAUGGGCACUGGGGAACGGGAGCCGCCUGCCCGGCACCUGCCGUCGUGGCUGGCGGUGCCAAAGCGCGGCUCUCCUCCUCCUUCUCCUCCUCGGGAGCCCCCGGGACCCCCAAGGGGCUCGGCCGGCGCUGGGAUCAGGCGGCACAGCUGCCCUUGGCCCACCUUGACUUGCCCUGGAGCCAUGCGGGCUUUGCUGCCCGCAGCCGCGCCCGGAGGCAGAGCCACAGCACCCAGCAGCUGAGAAGAGUGUAAUCCCUAGAAAUCCUUCAACAAAGCAAAUGGAAAAGCUCCUGUGUUUGAAAACAGCCCUGAGAAGAGCUGCAUUUUUGUCUUGGAGGGGCUGUUAUUUACAUGGAAAAAUGUUGUAUGUAUUGUACAUGUUCUUAGACUUCCUCCCACAGAAUCAUCCAAGGAAGUUCUUGCUCAACUACACCCGUGCAAAUCACCGCUUAACUGCACGAGUGCUCAUUUUGCAAACUUUUGGCCACUUGGCUGUUCUGAUACAAAGAAGUCAAAUGGCACUGGCACAUCUUCUGGUCUGUAUGAGAGAGUGUCCACUGGAGACCUGCCCAAGUGGGACCAUGUGCAGCUCCAAGGGAUGCAGAGUCUGUUGCUGGACUUGCUCGUCCUCGUGCCUGACCGUGGAAACUGCUGGAGAGCUGCUCCCUGUGAGCACUGAAGGCAGGGUGUUGAUGCACAUCUGUUCCAGCUGAACGCUGCCUGGCGCCGCCAGUGUCAAUGUUUUGCUUAACAGAUAAAUGCAAACCUCGGGAAAGCUGUAUCAGCACUCGCACCAAGAUGUUGGGGUGCAGCAACGACAGAGCGCCACAACAGCUCCUGAAGUUCUGAUUCGGUCUCUUAGGGAGAAAAUUGGUAUUUCAUGGAUCUCGAGGCCCUCGCUGACUGUUUGCCUCAGAAUCCAGUUUGAAAUUGUACUCCUUGUUUUUCAAACCACACCCUCACUCCUUGGACUUCUUUCCAGCUUGUCUCCUGGAGACGGUGGAGCCCUCCCCUUUCCUCCCCUCUGUCUCUUCUCUCUCCUUCCAACAGGCUCCUCACUGCUGAGUCUCCUCUCACCAUCUCCCAUCCAGAGCUGACUCCCUGUGCGUGUCCUGCAGUCAUUCUCCAUUUUAGUGCAAAGUUCCAUUCAAAUAAUACUCUUUUUGCCUGGAAUUCAAUUCUCCUUUUCCAUCUGUUCUUGCUGAAUGCAUAACUCUGGGUCAUACAGAGUACUCUGAGGCUCUGGAUGAGUUUCUUCUGUGGUUUGUGUAAGUCAUUGCACGAGCUCCUGAGAGCAGACUGGUAAAAAUGGUAAUGUUUUUGAAGAAAUUAUUUGAAAUGUAAAGAUUAUGUUGCAGAGUUGUUUAAUACAUAAUUGUUUAAUGUUUAAAUUCCCUCUAGUUCAUUCUUUGAAAGGAGAAUGGCAUUGUACAUGCUUAGAAUUUAAAGGCAAUCCCCUGUUCAGGUGGAUUUAACUCCUGACAUGUUCUUGAUAAAGGUCACUUUAUGAAUUUAGUUCAGUAUGUGAAGCCCCAUCCUGUAGUCCCUGUACAUGAAAGCUCUGCUGGAGAUGAUCAUCCCCAUCAUCUCCAUCAGCAGAUUCUGAUGGUAUUAAUGUCAAAAGGAGCAGAAGUGUCUAGAGGCAGUAGCAGUGCAGGCUGGGGGUCUUUAGGUUCCCCACAGAGAAUGCCAUGAUGAUACAUGAUUUACUUGUAGCUGCCAAACAAUAUGCCUGUCUGGCCUCCCUGAAGCAUUUCCAUUGGAAGGAGCCAUUUC